rnacentral:ncRNA from 1 species
CAAAGGUUUGGUCCUGACUUUAUUAUCAGCUUUAGCCCGAUUUACACAUGCAAGUUUCCGCAAUCCCGUGAGGAUGCCCUCAAUUUCCCGUCCGGAAGCGAGGAGCCGGUAUCAGGCACAGAAUCUAGCCCAAGACGCCUUGCUUAGCCACACCCCCAAGGGAAUUCAGCAGUGAUUGACAUUGAGCCAUGAGCGUGAAGCUCGACUCAGUCAGGGUUAUCAAGGGCCGGUAAAAUUCGUGCCAGCCACCGCGGUUAUACGAAAGACCCAAGUUGAUAGACUCGGCGUAAAGAGUGGUUAUGGGUUAAAUUUAAACUAGAGCUAAAGACCAUCCAAGCCGUUAUACGCAUACGAUGGUUCGAACCACUUCGACGAAAGUAGCUUUACCCUCUCCAACCAGAAUCCACGACAGCUGGGAAACAAACUGGGAUUAGAUACCCCACUAUGCCCCGCCGUAAACUUAGAUGUCAGACUACAAUAGACAUCCGCCUGGGGACUACGAGCGCCAGCUUAAAACCCAAAGGACUUGGCGGUGCUUCAGACCCCCCUAGAGGAGCCUGUUCUAGAACCGAUAACCCCCGUUCAACCUCACUAUUUCUUGCCCCUCCCGCCUAUAUACCGCCGUCGCCAGCUUACCCUGUGAAGGAGAAAAAGUAAGCAGGAUGGGCAUAGCCCAGAACGUCAGGUCGAGGUGUAGCGUAUGAAAUAGGAAGAAAUGGGCUACAUUAUCUGAGCCAGAUGACUACGGAGAGUCGCCUGAAACCUGGCGAUUCGAAGGUGGAUUUAGCAGUAAGGGGAGAAUAGAGCGCCCCCCUGAAGCCGGCUCUGAAGCGCGCACAUACCGCCCGUCACUCUCCCCAACAGCACAGCACCUAGUAACUAACACAAUAUUAGCUACAAGGGGAGGCAAGUCGUAACAUGGUAAGUGUACCGGAAGGUGCACUUGGAACAAC